AACGAACGCUGGCGGCGUGCUUACACAUGCAAGUCGAACGCGAAAGAGUUCUUCGGAACUUGAGUAGAGUGGCGCACGGGUGAGUAACGCGUAAGUAACCUACCCUCGCAUUUGGGAUAACCCACCGAAAGGUGUGCUAAUACCGGAUACGUCGUGGUUAAUAUCUUUUAUCACGAGAAAGGUGGCCUCUGAUACAAGCUACUGUGCGGGGAGGGGCUUGCGUACCAUUAGCUAGUUGGUAGGGUAAGGGCCUACCAAGGCGAUGAUGGUUAGCGGGUCUGAGAGGAUGAUCCGCCACACUGGAACUGGAACACGGACCAGACUCCUACGGGAGGC
rnacentral:rRNA from 1 species